GCUGGCGGCAGGCCUAACACAUGCAAGUCGAGCGCUCUCUUCGGAGGGAGCGGCGGACGGGUGAGUAACGCGUGGGAAUCUACCCAGUAGUUGGGGAUAGCCCGGAGAAAUCCGGAUUAAUACCGAAUAAUGUCUACGGACGAAAAGGUGCCUCUUCUUGAAAGCACUUGCUAUUGGAUGAGCCCGCGUUAGAUUAGUUUGUUGGUGGGGUAACGGCCUACCAAGACUGCGAUCUAUAGCUGGUUUGAGAGGAUGAUC
rnacentral:rRNA from 1 species